GAAUGAACGCUGGCGGCGCGCCUAAUACAUGCAAGUCGAGCGAGAAGACGUAGCAAUACGUUUGUAAAGCGGCGAACGGGUGAGGAAUACAUGGGUAACCUACCCUCGAGUGGGGAAUAACUAGCCGAAAGGUUAGCUAAUACCGCGUACGCUUCUUGGACUUCGGUUCAGGGAGGAAAGCGAUGCCGAGGGUAUCGCGCUCUUGGAUGGGCUCAUGUCCUAUCAGCUUGUUGGGAGG
rnacentral:rRNA from 1 species